rnacentral:tRNA from 1 species
GCGAGAGUGGCGGAAUUGGUAGACGCACCAGAUUUAGGUUCUGGCAUCGCAAGAUGUGCGGGUUCGAGUCCCGCCUUUCGCACCA